GGAUUAGGCAUGCAAGUCGAACGAGAAAGGCUUUUUCGGAAGCCAAGUACAGUGGCGGACGGGUGAGUAAUGCAUAGAUAACUUGCCCUUGAGACGGGAAUAACACCUCGAAAGGAGUGCUAAUACCCGAUGCCGCCGCAGGCCGAUAGGCUUGCGGUGAAAGGAGGCCUCUGAUUCAAGCUUCUGCUCAAGGAGAGGUUUAUGUCCUAUUAGCUUGUUGGUGAGGUAAAAGCUCACCAAGGCUUCGAUGGGUAGCCGACCUGAGAGGGUGACCGGCCACAUUGGGACUGAGACACUGCCCAAACUCCUACGGGAGGCUGCAGUCGAGAAUCUUCCGCAAUGCGCGAAAGCGUGACGGAGCGACGCCGCGUGGGUGACGAAGGCCUUCGGGUUGUAAAGCCCUGUCAGCUACUAUGAAUGGCGGGCGGUGAAUAACUGUCCCGUUUGACGUAAGUAGCAGAGGAAGCACCGGCUAACUACGUGCCAGCAGCCGCGGUAAUACGUAGGGUGCAAACGUUGUUCGGAAUCACUGGGCAUAAAGCGCGUGUAGGCGGUCCGAUAAGUCGGACGUGAAAUCCCCCGGCUCAACCGGGGAACUGCAUUCGAUACUGUCUGGCUAGAGUGCAGGAGGGGAGAGCGGAAUUCCUGGUGGGGCGGUGAAAUGCGUAGAUAUCAGGAGGAACGCCGGUGGCGAAAGCGACUCUCUGGCCUGCUACUGACGCUGAGGCGCGAAAGCUAGGGGAGCAAACGGGAUUAGAUACCCCGGUAGUCCUAGCCCUAAACGAUGGGCACUAAGUAGAGGGGUUUU
rnacentral:rRNA from 1 species